rnacentral:tRNA from 1 species
GCCCGAGUGGCGGAAUGGUAGACGCAGGGGAUUCAAAAUCCCCCGGUGGCAACAUCGUGUCGGUUCGAGUCCGACCUCGGGCACCA